rnacentral:rRNA from 1 species
CGAUGCGAUCAUACCAGCACUAACGCACCGGA